UACGGGGGGGGCAAGCGUUGUUCGGAAUUACUGGGCGUAAAGGGCUCGUAGGUGGCCAACUAAGUCAGACGUGAAAUCCCCAGGCUCAACUUGGGAACUGCGUCCGAUACUGGAUGGCUCGAGUUUGGGAGAGGGAUGCGGAAUUCCAGGUGUAGCGGUGAAAUGCGCAGAUAUCAGGAGGAACACCGGUGGCGAAGGCGGGUCUCUGGGCCGAUACUGACGCUGGAGGAGCGAAAGCGUGGGGAGCGAACAGG
rnacentral:rRNA from 1 species